UUUGGCAAGCUCAUUUGUGAGCGGAGGACAGGAAACCACUAUUAACGUAUAGAAUCACCGAUGUCCAGCUGAAGAGUUUAGUUAAUUCUGGUCCCUUGUGCCUGUCAAGUUUCAAAUGAGUUUGGAUUUGUGUCUCGUGCGCACAGCGAGCCUCGGUACUGCCUCCAAUGUGCGGCACCAGCACCUCUUGGGUGUUACUCUUCCAGAGGUUAUGAGGCGGAGUGUACGUACAGCGCAGUUUCCAGUCAGCCCACAAGGAUGCGGUAGGAAACUGGCUGCUGGCGAACCGUGUGCCGUGAUCGUAUAGUGGUUAGUACUCUGCGUUGUGGCCGCAGCAACCCCGGUUCGAAUCCGGGUCACGGCAAACGUUCCUAUUGACGACAGAGAGAAGACGAGCAUAUCCAACAUCUGACUGACCUGUUUGUUUUUAGGAUAUUUUAAGACACCCUCAGUUUUUAAUAUGUACGCACCAGACGAUUUAGGCACCAGAGGGCAGCACACGACCAUGUAUAUGAAACCACUGCUACAAAGGGAUCAUUAGGAAAACUUGGCAGAGAUAAAGACUGAUUAAUUACCUUACUGUGUCCAGUUGAGAUUACCGCGCCUGAAGUAAU